AACGAACGCUGGCGGCAGGCCUAACACAUGCAAGUCGAACGCCGUAGCAAUACGGAGUGGCAGACGGGUGAGUAACGCGUGGGAACCUUCCCAGUGGUACGGAAUAACUCAGGGAAACUUGAGCUAAUACCGUAUACGCCCCUCGGGGGAAAGAUUUAUCGCCAUUGGGUGGGCCCGCGUCGGAUUAGCUAGUUGGUGAGGUAACGGCUCACCAAGGCGACGAUCCGUAGCUGGUCUGAGAGGAUGAUCAGCCACACUGGGACUGAGACACGGCCCAGACUCCUACGGGAGGCAGCAGUGGGGAAUAUUGGACAAUGGGCGCAAGCCUGAUCCAGCCAUGCCGCGUGAGUGACGAAGGCCUUAGGGUUGUAAGGCUCUUUUGGCGGGGAAGAUAAUGACGGUACCCGCAGAAUAAGCUCCGGCUAACUUCGUGCCAGCAGCCGCAGUAACAC
rnacentral:rRNA from 1 species